GCUGGGUGCGGGGCGGGGGGCUGCCCCAACUCCCCUGCCUGCAUCUGCCGGGAGUUUUUUUCCCCUUUCCAAACCGACUGCUGAUUUUAAUUUGAUGUGAUUAAAACGUCUGUCUGGCUUUGGGAUUGAUUUAAGACUUUCCCCUCUCUAGGUUGGGUUGUUGUUCUUUUUUUUUUUUUUUCCCCUUUCUCUCGUUCCCUCUUUUCCAUGCAUGUUUGUGAUUACCAGGGAGGGAACCGCCGCUGAGCACGGAGAAUUAAACCCCGGGACCGACGGAGGGGAGGAAAAGGAAAGUCGGUGGGAUUUAUGGGGGGCAGGAAGAGUUAGUUUUCCUGCCCGGGGCUGGAUUUCGGGGCUUGACACAGAACGCCGCCGCUGGAGCAGGCGACGUUCCUGCGGGACACAGCAGCGGGAUUUUGGGGUGCUGGGGAGGGGACGGCUUUGUUCCCUCGGCCCCGGCGGCCACCGGCACCCCCGGGGCUGCCGCGGGCCGGCCGGCCUGGCGGCACACCGGCACCGGGGGCUCCUCGCCCGGAAAAUGCUGGAAAACACCCUUAAAAGGUCAAAGUGUGGGCGCCGCCAGGCUCCCCGGGGUCCCGGGCGGCGGCACCGGGGCCGGGGCAGCACGAGGCGGGCGCCGGGUUGGGCUCCGGCUCCCGCGGUGCCGGCGUGACGCAGGACGGGCACGGCGGGGCGAGCGCCGGGGAACCGGAAAAGCGAGGCCGGGAUCCCCGGCGGCUCCAUCGCCCUUUCCUCUCCCCCUUCCCGCUGCCGCCGGGCCCGGCGGACGUGGCCGAGCCGGUGGCACGGCCGGUGCCGAGGCCUGCGGGGACGGGCGGGGAACGGGACGCCGAGGAGGAGCCGCGGCGCUGGAGCUCGGCCGCCACCACCCCGUUCCCCUUUUGGGGCAUCCCCAGCCGUGGGCUGCCCGGGCCGUGUCUCGGGGACUCUCGGCAUCCCCGGUGUCCCCGUGCCUAUUUAGCAGGCGGCCGAGGGCACGGUGGCGGCCGCACAUCUGGGCUGCAUUAGGCGCAGGCUCCGCGGGGAAAUGCGGAGGGCUCUGCUUACAGGGCCGCGCUGGGGGGAGAUUUAUGCCCUGCUAAGUGGCACCGAGCCCCGUAAAUCAUCCCCCCGCACCCCCCGGGGCUGCAGCACCACCGUGCCGGCACCGCCGUCCCAGCGUGGCGGCAGGCUCGUGGGGAUGCACUCCUGGACGGGAUAUCUGGGAUAUCUGGGAAGCAGCUGGCCCGGCAGUGUUGUGGCUGCGUGUGGCACGUGGCCUGUGGGUGACAGACACGUCCCAGGCUUCGCCAGGGUGCUGUGGGGACAUCAGGGCACGGCUGUGCCCACCAGGACUGCUGGUCCCACACUGACCCAGCCAGGCAGUGUCCCCGUGGCAGGCGAUGCCAGCGGUGGCGGCGGGUCUGGAGGUGCCGGGGCGUGUCACCACGGCUCUGCGCUGCCACGUGGGCUGGCACCGGGGGUCCCCUGCCCCGCUGGAGAGCGGCCAGCCUGGCUCUGUGCCUGUGAGCCCCCAGCACGCUGCUGGGGGGGCUGCUGGGCUCUGCGGCUCCGUGACCUGCGCCGGGAGCGGCGGGAAGGGAUCGAGGUGCCUCGUGAGGCUCCCGGUGCUGGGCGUGCGUGUGGGGCAGCGGGGUCUGGUUGGGAUUAGGGGCCUGCGCUCCCCUCGCCGGCGGGGGUGUUUCCAUCGUGCUGCUGGCUGGAGCCGGAGCUGGAUGGGAAAUCCAGGCCCAGCUAAUUACGGCCUCACUGGAGUCUCCCGUGCGCGGCUGCAUUUAUAAACACACGGAGGAGACAGGAUGUAAACACUCAGCGCCGCGAGCGCAGGCACGGCCCGGACCGGGGGGGACGCGGGGCCGUGUGCCCCCCGUGCCACCGCCCGCUCCUGGCACGGCGGCUUCGCCAUGGGAUGGAUGGGAUGAGAUGGGAUGGGGUGGAUGGGAUGGAGUGCGGUAGAAUGGGAUGGAUGGGAUGGGGACCCCACUGUGGUGGCCGCGGGUGCUGUUGAGGAACAAGGGCACACAUGUUCUUCCUGUUGGAACUCAGGGAAUGCUGUGUCUGUGCUAUCUGGGUGUGGAACGUGAGCAUCCUCGUGUCCCCACCGUGCUUGGCUCCACAGGGAUGCUGCUGUGCUGCGGUGUCACCUCCCCAGACACAGCGGGGUUAAAUGCCAGCAGCGUGGGGACGCGGAGGCGUCUGUCGUGAGCCCUUGAGUGUCAUCCACUCAAGCCCCUCGGAGCUGGCGGCCACGCUGGGCUGAGAAACGCCCUGCGGAGGGUUAAGUGGUGCCACUUGGAGGCCAGGACAGUGGCUGGGGUAAUGGGGACAGGGCUGCUUUGUCCUCUGUGCCGCAGUCAUGCCUGGCCACCGCGAGACCUCCCGUGCUGGCCCCAGGAAUGGGGCUGCGGGGUGGGAUGGGGCUCUGCUCGCCGCUGGACGCCGGCCCAUCAGAUAGGGCAGCUCCCGCCGCGGCGUCGGGGGCCGGCUCGGCUCCGUCCUCUGCCGGGGGCUCCGGGGCCAGGGGGUCUCCCCUUCCCGGCUGCCGCCCCCGCCACCAGGGUUUCGGGAAAGCGGCUCCGGGCGGGCUGCGGUCGCUCAGCCCUCGGCGGCUCUGCCCACAGCAUGCCCAGGGAACAGCUCACCGUCUCCGUGGCCGAAUUCCUGCCUCGGCCACUGGCCGGGAGGUCUGGCCAGCACUGCCGCCUGCACUGCCGGGCGGGUGGCAGGCCAAGGGUCCCGGGUGUCACCCCAAAGGCGGGUGAGCCACGUCCCUGCUGCCACGUGUGCGUUGGGUGUCCGUGGCACCACCGGUGUGUCCGGCGUGGGUGCCCCAAGGUGCUGCCAGCAGAGCAGGGGGUGCCCGCUCCCGUGGCCCCCCGUCACCCCGGCUCCUCGGGUGUCCCCAGGGCCCAGCGGGUGACCCCGGGCAGGCACGCCAUGAGCUGCUUACGUGGGCUGGGAGCAUCCUGGCUGAGCUCCAGGGCCGGUUUUGAAACCCUCGGGCUCUUCCUCUCCGACGUCACCAGGAUCCAGCUGUGCCGGCUGGAGCCUCCCUCCUCCACUGUCUGUGCCGGUGGGUGCCCGGCGCCAGCCGCUGGGACAGGGGUGGGCAGGGGACAGCGGGGGCACCCGCUGUGGCUGGGCCAUUGUCACUACUGUGCCAUAGUCACAGUCACUGCUGUGCCACUGUCGUCAUCACUGCUCUGCCACGGUCACGGUCACUGCUGUGUCAUGGCCACUGUCUCUGCUGUGCCCCAGUCACUGUCACUGCUGUGUCACGGUCACCCUCAUUACUGUGCAGUGUCACUGUCACUGCUGUGUCAUGGCCACUGUCUUUGCUGUGCCUCAGUCACUGUCUUUGCUGUGUCAUGUGUGUCACGGUUACCAUCAGUGCUCUGCCCCAGUCAGUGUCACUGCUGUGCCAGGGUCACCAUUGUCACUGUGUCAUGGUCACUACUGCCCAGCGCCAUCCAUUCUGUGCAUCCCACCGUUCCCAUCCCUCAGACACCCACCUCCAUCCCCUUCCUCCAUCAUCCUCAUCCUCGUGUCCGGGCCACCUGCCCAGGAUCCACCGUGGCUCCAUCCCAAUCUCCCAUCCCUGCCAUCCCCCCUCAUCCCGCUCCCCGGCUGUGUUUGGUUUGGCACCGGCCAGGCCGGGGCGGGUGUAAAUCCCGCCUGGAAACCGGAGCCGGCGGCGGGCGAGGGUCCGGCCAAAGCAAACACCGGGAGGGGGGGUUGUGUGUGCUGUGAGUCACCGCGGCCCCCCCGCCGGCCCCCCCCGGCCCACGCUCGCACGCACGCGGGGCCGGCCGCACGCUCCGCGCCGGAACGCACCGGAACGCAGGCAAGCGGCGGCACGUGCCCACCGCGGGGCACCGGGCGAGCCGGGGCCGGCCGGGGCUGCCACGCACGGGGGACACGGGGGCGUCGCACGGGGUGUCACAGCGUGGUGUGGUGUGUGCACGGCGUGUCACACGUGGGUAGCAUGUAACGGAGUGUCCCCCCCGAUGGGGUAUGUGCACGGCACGUUGCACACUUGUCUGGCAUGUCCUGUGAGUGCCACACAUGUCACAUGCCCGUGUGGUAGGUGACACACCUGGAUGGUGUCUCAUGCGUGUGGUGCAUCACACGUGUGCACGGUGUCACACGUGCAUGGUGUCACACGCCUGGAAAGUGCGGUGUUCCCCACGCCUGUGUGAUGCUCACACACAAAGUGCAUCCCAGGUGUUCCCUGAACGUAUCCCAGAGGUGUCACAAGUGUCCUGCACACCUCCGGGGUGUAUCCCAGGUGUGACAGUGUCCUGCACACCCACAGGGCACUUGCACCCCCACAGCGAGGCUUGCAGUUUGCAGGACACCCGCGGCGGGGAGGCCCUUGUGGCCGGAGCCGGGGUGUCCCCGAGGACCGUCGUGCGUCACGGGCGGCCGGUGACGGGGAGCAGUGACGCGCGGGGGCGCGGGGGUUGCCCGCAGCAGGAGCCCCGCCGUGCCGAGCCGUGCCAGCGGCCGGUCUUUCCCGGGAGGCGCUGCCGGGAAGGCCGGCUGUGGCGAGCCGGGGGUGCCAGCUGGCCGGAGUGUCCUGGCCGCGGGCCGUGACCUUUGCGGAGCCGCCGGCCGGCGGGGCCGCGCUCCCGGGCCGCCCUGACGUCAGGCCGAUGACGGGGACCCCGCCGCCGCUUUCCGGUGGCUCCGCAAAGGUCACCCCGCGCCCCGGCCGCUCCUCGGAGCCGCUUCCCCCCCGCAUAUUCCCGGUGGCGGGGGUCCCCGCUGGGUGCCGGGGCCGCUGCGGCGUUGGCGGUGCCCAAAUAUAUCCCAGGCGUGUGUCCCGGCGGGAAUGCCGCGGGCGCGCUGCUCCAGACCAUAUAAAGGAUUGUUGGUGCAGCCGCGGGCGGGAGCGCUCCGAGGGGAGCCGGGGGGUCAGCGCGCUGAGGUCGGGGAUCCCUGCUGCUCCCGGGGGGGUGCUGAGGUGACUCUUGGGGGAUCUUCACCUUCCUGUGCGCCGCGCUUUGCAACCUGCCGGCGCUGCCGGCGCUGAACUGCUCCGAGGAGCUGGGCGCCGGCCAGUCCAUCCAGCAGACGUACGACCUGACCCGCUACCUGGAGCACCA